UACAGAGGGUGCAAGCGUUAAUCGGAAUUACUGGGCGUAAAGCGUGCGUAGUCGGUUAUCUAAGUCGGGUGUGAAAUCCCCGGGCUUAACCUGGGAACUGCAUUUGUGACUGGCAAGCUAGAGUAUGGCAGAGGGGGGUAGAAUUCCACGUGUAGCAGUGAAAUGCGUAGAGAUGUGGAGGAAUACCGAUGGCGAAAGGCAGCCCCCCUGGGAUCAAGCACUGACG
rnacentral:rRNA from 1 species